rnacentral:rRNA from 1 species
UACGAAGGGGGCUAGCGUUGCUCGGAAUCACUGGGCGUAAAGCGCACGUAGGCGGCUUUUUAAGUCAGGGGUGAAAUCCUGGAGCUCAACUCCAGAACUGCCUUUGAUACUGAGAAGCUUGAGUCCGGGAGAGGUGAGUGGAACUGCGAGUGUAGAGGUGAAAUUCGUAGAUAUUCGCAAGAACACCAGUGGCGAAGGCGGCUCACUGGCCCGGUACUGACGCUGAGGUGCGAAAGCGUGGGGAGCAACA